GGCUAGUAUUGGAGAGAAACAAUGUAGAAGUGAUAAACCGAAUUUAUGAUUUCUACAGGUUCUAGUCUUCUGAGGAGGUGUCAGCUAAGCUGAAAUUGGAGAAAGUUUUAAUCAUAUAUGCAACAACAGGAGGGGAAUUACAGACAGAGAGCCUCUUGAAAACCCAACAGGGAUGUCGACAUGCUAAGGAAGUGGAAAGGAAGAGUUCUGUGUGCUCUGUGUCCUCAAGCACAGCCCUAUGCCAGCUUUUAUUAAGCACUGCCAAACUCUGGAGCGUGUCACUGGAGAGGACUGGCUUCCACCCCUGGGGACUUGAGGGUUUCGCAGGCUUGUGCCAUGAACUCUGUGACAUUCUUCAACUCAGGCAGGUAAUCUUUUG
ensembl:lncRNA